GAUGAACGCUGGCGGCGUGCCUAAUACAUGCAAGUCGAGCGAACAGACGAGGAGCUUGCUCCUUUGACGUUAGCGGCGGACAGGUGAGUAACACGUGGAUAACCUACCUAUAAGACUGGGAUAACUUCGGGAAACCGGAGCUAAUACCGGAUAACAUGUUGAACCGCAUGGUUCAACAGUGAAAGACGGCCUUGCUGUCACUUAUAGAUGGAUCCGCGCCGCAUUAGCUAGUUGGUAAGGUAACGGCUUACCAAGGCAACGAUGCGUAGCCGACCUGAGAGGGUGAUCGGCCACACUGGAACUGAGACACGGUCCAGACUCCUACGGGAGGCAGCAGUAGGGAAUCUUCCGCAAUGGGCGAAAGCCUGACGGAGCAACGCCGCGUGAGUGAAGAAGGUCUUCGGAUCGUAAAACUCUGUUAUUAGGGAAGAACAAAUGUGUAAGUAACUAUGCACGUCUUGACGGUACCUAAUCAGAAAGCCACGGCUAACUACGUG
rnacentral:rRNA from 1 species